UUCCGUGCCUGACAGCGGCAGCCCUUUGUCUCUUCGUAGACGGCAGUAUUUUUCUGCCGUGUCGCAUAAAGCACAGCGUUUACCGUUAGCCAAUAAGACAGCCUAGCAAGCUAAAGCUAACUAGCGUCGGAUGUUAGCAUCACAGCCCGGGCAGCAGACCUAGAAAGACGACGAUUUGAAGCUGUGUCAGCGCUCCGCGUUCAACCCUGACAGUUUAAAGCGGAUAACGAAAGGCUAAUUUAGUAACAAGGACAAUUGUUUAACCCGGAGUUGUGUCACUGCUUGAAGUGUCACAGCUACAGCCGGUUUCCCGCGAACUCCAGCGGCAGUGGAGGAUACUGUACCGGCUUCGUUCAUUGGUCAGAGGAAAGGCUGAACGGAAACUCACGGUUGAAUCAAGAUAAUACCCUGUAGCCUACUUCCGUUUCUGCUUAAAUUCUGCUUUGAUUCGUUAAAAAGCCUGAAAGCCUGAAACAGCAAUAUAUCAUAAAUAGAUCAUACUGUAUUAUUUGUAACCCUUCCGACAGGACUCGUGUUAUUUACUGAGCGUAGUCUGAUAAAUUACGUUGCUUGUUUCUGUCUCAUGGUGUUGCAGGGUUGUAUUUGUGAGAUAAGAAGAGGUGAACUAUCUUGAGUCGGUCCAACAUGGCUUAUUUAACCUGUGAGGUGGUGAUGUAAGGAAAGGCAUUAAGCCCAAACAAGUUUGAAGGACUGAAAAACGAAUGAUGUAACGCCAUCAUUGGAAGGUUGGGUCCUCUCAUCAGAGCGCCACAGCGCCAUCCUGCCGCCUUACUGUCGCCCCCGCCAUCGUCAUGGAGACCAUGUCGACCCAACCAUGGUGUCCCAGCAGACUCGUCACAAAGUCUGUCACCACCCAGUCACCAUGGCGCCCAACUUGGCCGAGACCCGACGGCGACAGGGAGCACCUUGUCACCGUGGUAACAUGUCUGGGAUGUAACCACCACCCCCACCCCCAAGAAAUACACGGAGAGACUUGCACACACAAGACAUUUCAUGGUAAAAAUAAUUAUAGCCACUGACUCUGACUGAAACGGCUUCAAGGCAAAGAGAAACAGCAGCAGGGGAGAAUUCCCAUGUUGCUGGAGGUGAUGCCGCGGAGCAGCCGAGACAACCCACCAAUCACAGAGAGACAAUGACUGAUCCUCCUGGCUGCCGUACAGAACAUCAGUCAAACUGAGCUUUGUUAGCGCUGCAUUCCUCUGUAUUGUCCUCCUGUUUGCAAACCCUUAAUCAGACAUUGUUAAUUUCAUCUAUAUCAUAAGUGACACCUUCAUGACUUCAUAUUCUGAUGCUGUAAACUGCUCACCUGGUUCUUCAUGCCAGCAAACUUACCUAUGAAUGUUGACAAUUAUUAUCAUUUACAAUCGUUUAAAAGAAAAAAAAAAAAGGUUAACAUCA